AGCUUUCUUCCCGCCAGGCCCCCUCCACCCGAUCGCCGCGCGCUCUCCGAACCAAAAGGCGACCUCACGAAAUGCCCCUUUGAGCUCAAAGGCUAGUUACCCCCAGGGGCCCUUCCACUCUCGGGGACAGGCGAAACCUCUUUGUCUCUGCCUCGGCCUGCGGCCCCCAGCCCAGCCUCCGCGCUUUCCCUCCGCCAGUCCUUGUCAAUCAAACCUGGUGCCAAACGCGGCAGCUGAAGUUUUCAGGGACACAUUUGCUUCUCCCCUUGAAGAACCAGUUACAAAGCGUGAUGUCCUCUCUGGGGUCCCAUCAGAACAAAGAAACAGGCUGUACAAGAAGCAUGAUGCCAGCAUCUGCUUCUGGUGACAACCUCAAGAAGUUUACAAUUGGCCGCGUGCGGUGGCUCAUGCCUGUAAUGCCAGCACUUCGGGAGGCGGAGACAGAUGGAUCAUUUGAGGUCAGGAGUUCGAGACCAGGCUGGCCA
rnacentral:lncRNA from 1 species